UCGGAUAUGGUGUAACGGCUAACAUUAGCGCCUCUCAUUCCAUUCUGGUCAUUUUAGCGCGCUAGCUCGGGGUUCGAUUCCCCGUAUCCGAA